rnacentral:rRNA from 1 species
CAUUACACAAAUAUGAAGCCGGACUGGGAUAGGGCCUCGCUGCCUUGCCCGUCUGGCGCCAUAUUCACCCAUGUCUUUUUGCGUACUACUUGUUUCCUUGGCGGGUCCGCCCGCCAAUUGGACCUUAUUCAAACCUUUUUUUCAGUUGCAAUCAGCGUCAGCAAAACAAAUGUAAUCAAUUACAACUUUCAACAACGGAUCUCUUGGUUCUGGCAUCGAUGAAGAACGCAGCGAAAUGCGAUAAGUAGUGUGAAUUGCAGAAUUCAGUGAAUCAUCGAAUCUUUGAACGCACAUUGCGCCCUUUGGUAUUCCAAAGGGCAUGCCUGUUCGAGCGUCAUUUGUACCCUCAAGCUUUGCUUGGUGUUGGGCGUCUUGUCUCUCUCCCGAGACUCGCCUUAAAAUCAUUGGCAGCCGGCCUACUGGUUUCGGAGCGCAGCACAUUAUUUGCGCUCUUGUCCAGCCGCGGUCGCGCGUCCAUGAAGCUUCUUUCAACCUUUUGACCUCGGAUCAGGUAGGGAUACCCG